rnacentral:piRNA from 1 species
UGGAAACACGCAAUUUUGAACAUGUGUCUC